rnacentral:rRNA from 1 species
UACGGGGGGGGCUAGCGUUGUUCGGAAUUACUGGGCGUAAAGGGCGCGUAGGCGGUACGACAAGUCGGGUGUGAAAGCCCGGGGCUCAACCCCGGAACGGCGUUCGAAACUGUCGAACUAGAGUGCGGAAGAGGCAACUGGAAUUCCCAGUGUAGCGGUGAAAUGCGUAGAUAUUGGGAAGAACACCUGAGGCGAAGGCGGGUUGCUGGGCCGACACUGACGCUGAGGCGCGAAAGCCAGGGGAGCAAACGGG